rnacentral:rRNA from 1 species
UACGGAGGGAGCUAGCGUUGUUCGGAAUUACUGGGCGUAAAGCGUACGUAGGCGGUGACUCAAGUCAGAGGUGAAAGCCUGGAGCUCAACUCCAGAACUGCCUUUGAAACUAGGUCGCUAGAAUCACGGAGAGGUGAGUGGAAUUCCGAGUGUAGAGGUGAAAUUCGUAGAUAUUCGGAAGAACACCAGUGGCGAAGGCGGCUCACUGGACGUGUAUUGACGCUGAGGUACGAAAGCGUGGGGAGCAAACAGG